ACUCAAAGGAAUUGACGGGGGCCCGCACAAGCAGCGGAGCGUGUGGUUUAAUUCGACGCAACACGCAGAACCUUACCCAGACUGGACAUGCCACUGCAAGUUGGUGAAAGCCAAUCGCCUUCGAGGGUGUGGCACAGAUGCUGCAUGGCUGUCGUCAGCUCGUGUCGUGAGAUGUUGGGUUCAGUCCCGCAACGAGCGCAACCCCUGCGACCAGUUACUCGUGUCUGGUCGGACGGCCCUUCGGGGAGGAAGGCGGGGAUGACGUCAAGUCCGCAUGGCUCUUACGUCUGGGGCGACACACACGCUACAAUGGCCGACGCAAUGCGUUGCUCCGGUGCAAGCCGUUGCUAAUCGCCAAGGUCGGUCUCAGUGCAGAUCGGGGGCUGCAACUCGCCCCCGUGAAGGCGGAGUUGCUAGUAACCGCGUAUCAGCGAUGGCGCGGUGAAUACGUACCCGGGCCUUGUACACACCGCCCGU
rnacentral:rRNA from 1 species